GCGUGCCUAAUACAUGCAAGUCAGAACGAACUCUGGUAUAUGAUUGGUGCUUGCAUCAUGAUUUACAUUUGAGUGAGUGGCGAACUGGUGAGUAACACGUGGGAAACCUGCCCAGAAGCGGGGGAUAACACCUGGAAACAGAUGCUAAUACCGCAUAACAACUUGGACCGCAUGGUCCGAGUUUGAAAGAUGGCUUCGGCUAUCACUUUUGGAUGGUCCCGCGGCGUAUUAGCUAGAUGGUGGGGUAACGGCUCACCAUGGCAAUGAUACGUAGCCGACCUGAGAGGGUAAUCGGCCACAUUGGGACUGAGACACGGCCCAAACUCCUACGGGAGGCAGCAGUAGGGAAUCUUCCACAAUGGACGAAAGUCUGAUGGAGCAACGACCGCGUGAGUGAAGAAGGGUUUCGGCUCGUAAAACUCUGUUGUUAAAGAAGAACAUAUCUGAGAGUAACUGUUCAGGUAUUGACGGUAUUGAACCAGAAAGCCACGG
rnacentral:rRNA from 2 species